GACGUAGGGCGCGAGCGUUGUCCGGAUUUAUUGGGCGUAAAGAGCUCGUAGGCGGUUUGUUGCGUCGGCUGUGAAAUCCCGAGGCUCAACCUCGGGUCUGCAGUCGAUACGAGCAAACUAGAGUGUUGCAGGGGAGACUGGAAUUCCUGGUGUAGCGGUGAAAUGCGCAGAUAUCAGGAGGAACAUCAGUGGCGAAAGCGACCUCCUGGACCAAUACUGACGCUCAUGUGCGAAAGCGUGGGGAGCAAACAGG
rnacentral:rRNA from 1 species